GCCAUGCCAGCAAUUCUGAUAAUGCUUCACCCUCAAUGCCCAAUUUUAAUUACACCAAUUUCACUUCUGCACAGAUUGGGCAGUGAGGGUGAAGCAUUACAGAAUUAGUGGCAGCGC
rnacentral:pre_miRNA from 1 species